rnacentral:tRNA from 1 species
GAGGGUAUAGCUCAAUGGUAGAGUGUGUGCUUAGCAUGCAUGAGGUUCUGGGUUCAAUUCCCAAUACCUUAC